UACGUAGGGGGCAAGCGUUGUCCGGAAUCAUUGGGCGUAAAGCGCGUGUAGGCGGCCCGAUAAGUCCGCUGUGAAAGUCCAGGGCUCAACCCUGGGAUGCCGGUGGAUACUGUCGGGCUCGAGUCCGGAAGAGGAGUGUGGAAUUCCUGGUGUAGCGGUGAAAUGCGCAGAUAUCAGGAGGAACACCAAUGGCGAAGGCAGCACUCGUGGGCCAUAACUGACGCUGGAGAAGCGAAAGCAUGGGGAGCGAACAGG
rnacentral:rRNA from 1 species